rnacentral:rRNA from 1 species
UACGGGGGGGGCAAGCGUUGUUCGGAAUUACUGGGCGUAAAGGGCUCGUAGGCGGCCAACUAAGUCAGACGUGAAAUCCCUCGGCUUAACCGGGGAACUGCGUCUGAUACUGGAUGGCUUGGAUUUGGGAGAGGGAUGCGGAAUUCCAGGUGUAGCGGUGAAAUGCGUAGAUAUCUGGAGGAACACCGGUGGCGAAGGCGGCAUCCUGGACCAACAUUGACGCUGAGGAGCGAAAGCCAGGGGAGCAAAGCGGG